AUAGCUGACGAGUCCCAGAUAGGGCGAAACGUAAGUCCUGUAU
rfam:Schistosoma mattheei strain Denwood, Zambia genome assembly, scaffold: SMTD_scaffold0001286